CGCCAGACUCCUACGGGAGGCAGCAGUGGGGAAUAUUGCACAAUGGGGGGAACCCUGAUGCAGCGACGCCGCGUGAGUGAAGAAGUAUUUCGGUAUGUAAAGCUCUAUCAGCAGGGAAGAAAAUGACGGUACCUGACUAAGAAGCCCCGGCUAACUACGUGCCAGCAGCCGCGGUAAUACGGAGGAUGCGAGCGUUAUCCGGAUUUAUUGGGUUUAAAGGGUGCGCAGGCGGCACGGCAAGCCGGCGGUCAAAGCGCGGGGCUCAACCCCGCCCAGCCGUCGGAACUGCCGGGCUAGAGUGGGCGAGAAGUGCGCGGAAUGCGUGGUGUAGCGGUGAAAUGCAUAGAUAUCACGCAGAACUCCGAUUGCGAAGGCAGCAUACCGGCGCCCAACUGACGCUGAAGCACGAAAGCGUGGGUAUCGAACAGGAUUAGAUACCCCAGUAAUC
rnacentral:rRNA from 1 species